rnacentral:tRNA from 1 species
GAAUAUGGCUCAGUGGUAGAGCAUUUGCCGAACAAGCACGAGGCCCUGGGUUCAAUCCCCAGCACCA